AAUAGAUACCCAGGUAGUCCACGCCGUAAACGAUGGAUACUAGCUGUUUGAGCGCAAGUUUGAGUGGCUAAGCGAAAGUGAUAAGUAUCCCACCUGGGGAGUACGGGCGCAAGCCUGAAACUCAAAGGAAUUGACGGGGGCCCGCACAAGCGGUGGAGCAUGUGGUUUAAUUCGAUGAUACGCGAGGAACCUUACCAGGGCUUAAAUGUAGAUUGACGUAUUUGGAAACAGAUAUUUCUUCGGACAAUUUACAAGGUGCUGCAUGGUUGUCGUCAGCUCGUGCCGUGAGGUGUCAGGUUAAGUCCUAUAACGAGCGCAACCCCUGUUGUUAGUUGCCAGCGAGUAAUGUCGGGAACUCUAGCAAGACUGCCAGUGUAAACUGUGAGGAAGGUGGGGAUGACGUCAAAUCAUCACGGCCCUUACGUCCUGGGCCACACACGUGCUACAAUGGCCGGUACAGAGAGCAGCCACUUAGCGAUAAGGAGCGAAUCUAUAAAGCCGGUCACAGUUCGGAUCGGAGUCUG
rnacentral:rRNA from 1 species